AUACGGAGGGGGCUAGCGUUGUUCGGAAUUACUGGGCGUAAAGCGCGCGUAGGCGGCUUAUCAAGUUAGGCGUGAAAGGCCUGGGCUCAACCCCGGAACUGCCCUCAAUACUGCCAGUCUAGAGAUCGAGAGAGGUGAGUGGAAUUCCUAGUGUAGAGGUGAAAUUCGUAGAUAUUAGGAAGAACACCAGUGGCGAAGGCGGCUCACUGGCUCGAUACUGCCGCUGAGGCGCGAAAGCGUGGGGAGCAAACAGGAUUAGAAACCCCGGUAGUCC
rnacentral:rRNA from 1 species